rnacentral:lncRNA from 1 species
AUGUCCUGCAGCUCUUCCUAUAUUCACUAGGUCUCUUUUCUCUUACAGGGAAUACCGUUUGUUAAAGUAGCAACAGGAUGGCCUGGGCAAGGACUAGGAGCUGCCCGUGGGAUGGCAUAUACUGGCAAGUACUUUGACCAAGCCAGCUACCGGGUGUUCUGUCUUCUGGGGGAUGAAGAGUCCACAGAAGGCUCUGUUUGGGAGGCAUUUGCCUUUGCAUCCUACUACAAUCUGGACAAUCUUAUGGCAAUCUUUGAUGUGAACCGCAUUGGACACAGUAGCUCC